rnacentral:rRNA from 1 species
GGUAAAUUAAUGUGCCAGCUACCGCGGUUAUACAUUAGCUARCCAAUUUCUAUUCUAUUGUUUUUGAAUAYCUUCAAAUUGAACUAUUAUACAUUUGYUUAGUGAAAUCCAUCCAUUUGUUAAUAUAUGCYUAUUCAACAAAUAAAUUUAGCAGUAAAACUAGGAUUAGAUACCCUAUUAUUCUAAAUUUUAAAAAUUAAGAAGUAAAAURAACCCCRAACUUAAUUAGGACGGCGGUAGAAUUUUAUUAGAGGAGGUUGUUCUUUAAUCGAUAGCCCUCGUUUAUUCCUUUUUCUUCAUUAUGUAUAUCGCCGUUGAAAUUCAACUUAAGAUUGAAUUAAUUUAUUUAUAAUUAUAAGUCAACAGGUCUAGAUACAAAUAAUGUAAAAGUAUGAAAUGACCUACAAAAUACAAAUAACUUUAAUGGUAAUUAAUGUACARUCAUUACAAACGGUUACCAAAGGAUUUAAAAGUAAUGUUAAUUAAUUAUUAUAGCAUAAUGAACCAUGCCUAUUCUAUGCACAUAUCGCCCGUCACCCUCCUUGGAGGUAAGUCGUAACAAAGUAGAUUCUUCGGAAGAAGAAUCUA